rnacentral:lncRNA from 1 species
GGUUACUUGCGCCCUCUAUAAAUGAAAGACGGUACCGCCAGUUCUGGGAAUCGCACAGGGGUGCGUACAAAUGGACCAGGACGCGGAGAGCACGGAAACAACGGUGCUGGGACCUUGUGCACAGAAUCCAGAUGCCAGAUGGGAAUUAAACAUUCGGCCGAGAAAAGCAAUCUAGUUCCCUGGGCUCGACUUUGACUCACUCCUUGGUCUGCACCAAUCCUCACAUCCCUCAGGUCCUCUAACUUUUACGACAGUAUCCAGAAAUCGAUUCUUUGGUCUCUACGGCUCCAGAAGGCUCGCUCAUCAAGGAACCAGGAAGCUGAGCGGCACCAUAGGUGUUGCUAACCAAGCAUAGCAGCAUAAUAAAAAUGGAGUGAUUAAAUGU